GCCUGGGUGGCUCAGUUGGUUGAGCAUCCGACUUGGGCUCAGGUCAUGAUCUCACCGUUCACGGGUUCAAGCCCUGUGUCAGGCC
rnacentral:tRNA from 1 species